rnacentral:lncRNA from 1 species
CUCUUUCCUCCUUGAUAUGCUUGGCGGGUACUAUCCAGAGUUUGGCUAUUGCCCUGGUUGUAGAACAUCGCCCUAGUGGAUGGGCAGUGGGAUGGAACUCUAGGCUUUUUGCUCCAUUGUACUCUGUAAGUACCAAAAGUACGAAAUAAAUUAAGCAUAUCCGUAUUGAACAUAUUGUUCCUAAACUAUCUAAGUACCUUUAGCAUCAAGUAUAUCAUUAUGGUUAAUCAAAUUAUAAAUACAUGCUAAUUACUACCAAUUAUUGGUUUUUAUGAAGGGUAUAGUUAGCUCUGGAAUUACAUAUUACGUACAAGGUAUGGUCAUGAAAACAAGAGGCCCUGUAUUUGUCACUGCUUUCAACCCUCUCUGCAUGAUCAUUGUUGCUGCUCUCGGUUCCGCCAUCCUCGGCGAGCAAC